rnacentral:antisense_RNA from 1 species
CUUGAUCGACCCCACCCACAACGGGUGAUCCGCCGAGCGCGCCGCCCCAUAGGUCGCGAUCAGCGCACCGGCCUC